rnacentral:rRNA from 1 species
UAUUGGGCAAUGGGCGCAAGCCUGACCCAGCAACGCCGCGUGAAGGAAGAAGGCUUUCGGGUNGUAAACUUCUUUCCUGAGGGACNNAGNNNGNGACGGUACCUCAGGAAUAAGCCACGGCUAACUACGUNNNCGAAGCCGCGGUAAUACGUAGGUGGCAAGCGUUAUCCGGAUUUAUUGGGUGUAAAGGGCGUGUAGGCGGGAAUGCAAGUCAGAUGUGAAAACUAUGGGCUCAACCCAUAGCCUGCAUUUGAAACUGUAUUUCUUGAGUGCUGGAGAGGCAAUCGGAAUUCCGUGUGUAGCGGUGAAAUGCGUAGAUAUACGGAGGAACACCAGUGGCGAAGGCGGAUUGCUGGACGAUGACUGACGCUGAGGCUCGAAAGCGUGGGGAGCAA